AAGGAGUUUAUCAGGAGGCGUUGUAUGCUAUGAAAGAAGAAAAGACAGCAGAGUAUGGGGGUCCGGGUCCUGGGGUUUGAAGUGUGUGUUGCGGUUUUAAACGGAGUGAUCAUGGUGGGCUUCCUGGAGACAACAAGAUUCGAGGGAAGACUUGGAAGCAGAGAAAGAAGGGAGUGAGCUGUGUGGGUGUCUGUGGGAAGAGCUCCACAGACAGAAGGAACGGAAAAUUAUCUCAGGGUGUGGAUCACAUGACUACGGAGGCUGAGAAGGCCCACAGUCUGCACUCCGCAACCUGGAGAACCAAGAUAGCUGCGGGGCGAUUUGGCCCGAACUUGAAACCUGCAGGCCGGGAGCGCGCCCUGGUCCCAGCGUCUCUGGACAGAAAAUAUGUCUCAGCUCACGCAGAGGUUAAAACGGGUCCUCCAGGCCCUCAACGGAUUGGAUGAUGCCCACUCACCUUGAGCAUCCAGUUGCUGGGAGAAGUCGGUUCGCCGUCUCCAGCGGCAUCUCCGCUCGACAUGGACCCUGAGACCUGCCCGUGCCCUGCUGGUGGUUCCUGCACCUGCAACGGCUCCUGCAAGUGCGAGGGAUGCAAAUGCACCUCCUGCAAGAAAAGCUGCUGCUCCUGCUGCCCCGCAGAGUGUGAGAAAUGCUCCAAGGACUGCGCGUGCAAAGGUGGAGAGGGGGCGGAGGCCGAGGCUCAGAAGUGCAGCUGCUGCGAGUGAGGCCAGGACCUGCCGCCCCCACCCCGAGAAACAGGUGUAGAUAGUGCGGGUGGCCCAGUGCCACCUCACCCUGCGGGGAGGCUCGGCUCUGUAUCCCCCACUCCUGCCAGCUGCUGGCAAGUGACAAUAAAUCCUAUGAAUG